rnacentral:rRNA from 1 species
GACGAACGCUGGCGGCGUGCCUAAUACAUGCAAGUCGAGCGGACGUUUUUGUAGCUUGCUUUAAAAACGUUAGCGGCGGACGGGUGAGUAACACGUGGGCAACCUACCUUAUCGACUGGGAUAACUCCGGGAAACCGGGGCUAAUACCGGAUAACAUCUAGCACCUCCUGGUGCCGGGUUGAAAGAGGGCUUCUUGCUCUCACGAUAAGAUGGGCCCGCGGCGCAUUAGCUAGUUGGAGAGGUAAUGGCUCCCCAAGGCGACGAUGCGUAGCCGACCUGAGAGGGUGAUCGGCCACACUGGGACUGAGACACGGCCCAGACUCCUACGGGAGGCAGCAGUAGGGAAUCUUCCGCAAUGGACGAAAGUCUGACGGAGCAACGCCGCGUGAGUGAUGAAGGGUUUCGGCUCGUAAAGCUCUGUUAUGAGGGAAGAACACGUACCGUUCGAAUAGGGCGGUACCUUGACGGUACCUCAUCAGAAAGCCACGGCUAACUACGUGCCAGCCGCCGCGGUAA